rnacentral:rRNA from 1 species
AGUGAACGCUGGCGGUAGGCCUAACACAUGCAAGUCGAACGGCAGCACAGUAAGAGCUUGCUCUUACGGGUGGCGAGUGGCGGACGGGUGAGGAAUACAUCGGAAUCUACUUUUUCGUGGGGGAUAACGUAGGGAAACUUACGCUAAUACCGCAUACGACCUACGGGUGAAAGCAGGGGAUCUUCGGACCUUGCGCGAUUGAAUGAGCCGAUGUCGGAUUAGCUAGUUGGCGGGGUAAAGGCCCACCAAGGCGACGAUCCGUAGCUGGUCUGAGAGGAUGAUCAGCCACACUGGAACUGAGACACGAUCCAGACUCCUACGGGAGGCAGCAGUGGGGAAUAUUGGACAAUGGGCGCGAGCCUGAUCCAGCCAUACCGCGUGGGUGAAGAAGGCCUUCGGGUUGUAAAGCCCUUUUGUUGGGAAAGAAAAGCAGCAGGUUAAUACCCCGCUGUUCUGACGGUACCCAAAGAAUAAGCACCGGCUAACUUCGUG